rnacentral:rRNA from 2 species
UGGGGAAUAUUCCGCAAUGGGCGCAAGCCUGACGGAGCAACGCCGCGUGAAUGAGGAAGGCCUUCGGGUCGUAAAACUCUGUCUUCAGGGAAGAAAAAAAUGACGGUACCUGAGGAGGAAGCCCCGGCUAACUACGUGCCAGCAGCCGCGGUAAAACGUAGGGGGCGAGCGUUGUCCGGAAUUACUGGGCGUAAAGGGCGCGUAGGCGGUCAUUUAAGUCAGAGGUGAAAACUACCGGCUCAACCGGUAGCCUGCCUUUGAAACUGGAUGACUUGAGGGCAGGAGAGGGGAGUGGAAUUCCCAGUGUAGCGGUGAAAUGCGUAGAUAUUGGGAGGAACACCAGUGGCGAAGGCGGCUAACUGGACUGUAACUGACGCUGAAGCGCGAAAGUGUGGGGAGCAAACAGG